rnacentral:lncRNA from 1 species
CCUCAGUGCACCGCAGCGAAGUCGUCUUGGGCGCGGGUUCCUGGAUCGGAUCGUCUGCCCGCGGGAGGGGCGGGACUGCUUAGUUACGGGGGGAGGGCCUGAGAAAUCCAGGGAGAAAGGAAGGUGGCUUGACCUCAUCUACUCGUGUCUGCAUUUUACCAAGCGCCGACCCUUGUAUCUCGUGAACUGAAACGCACCAUCCUUCCCCGCUGAUCUAACAAGAAUCUACAGAACUCGCUUUCCCAGGGUAGGGAGGCUGGAUGUCCACCACACAGAGCUUGGAGCUCACUCCUGGCUGUGUCACACGGAGCCUGGGUGGGCUGAGCAUUUGCAGUUUUCAGCAGCUUCCAAAGGACCCUACUGAGCAGCCAGGGGAGUCCCGUGAGAGUGAAGAGUGAGUGACUUCCCUCCUGCACAGUUCUGCAGCCUCUGCCCCAUCUACCUCCACGCCUGGUUCCUGCUGCAGCCUCUGCCCCAUCUACCGCCAUGCCUGUUCCUGCUGCAGCCUCUGCCCCAUCUACCGCCACGCCUGUUCCUGCUGCAGCCUCUGCCCCAUCUACCCCCACACCCAGCUCCUGCUGCAGCCUCUCCCCCAUCUACCGCCACGCCUGUUCCUGCUGCAGCCUCUGCCCCAUCUACCUCCACGCCUGUUCCUGCUGCAGCCUCUGCCCCAUUUACCGCCACGCCCGGCUCCUGCUGCAGCCUCUGCCCCAUCUACUAUCACGCCUGUUCCUGCUGCAGCCUCUGCCCCAUCUACCUCCACGCCUGUUCCUGCUGCAGCCUCUGCCCCAUCUACCUCCACGCCUGUUCCUGCUGCAGCCUCUGCCCCAUCUACCUCCACGCCUGUUCCUGCUGCAGCCUCUGCCCCAUCUACCUCCACGCCUGUUCCUGCUGCAGCCUCUGCCCCAUCUACCUCCACGCCCAGCUCCUGCUGCAGCCUCUGCCCCAUUUACCUCCACGCCUGUUCCUGCUGCAGCCUCUGCCCCAUCUACCUCCACGCCUGUACCGCCACGCCCAGCUCCUGCUGCAGCCUCUGCCCCAUCUACUGCCACGCCUGUUCCUGCUGCAGCCUCUGUCCCAUCUACCGCCAUGCCUGGUGACCAUCACUUCCUCGGCCAGAAAUCUCUCUGCCCCCUCCAGGCCCCCGUUUUGCCUGUUCAGACCCCUUCUAGGACUAUUUCUGCAACUCACGUACAAGUCUGAAGUUAGACUAUUUCUGCAACUCACAUACAAGUCUGAAGUUAGACUAUUUCUGCAACUCACAUACAAGUCUGAAGUUAGUUCAAAUAAAAAGUUAAAAAGGAAAGAGAGAAAUAGAAAAUCACUAUUAGGGCCGGGCACAGUGGCUCACGU